UAGGGAAUAUUAGUAAUGGGCGAAAGCCUGAACUAGCAACGCCGCGUGUGCGAAGAAGGCCUUCGGGUUGUAAAGCACUUUUUGAGAGGAUGAGGAGGGACGGUACUCUCAGAAUAAGUCUCGGCUAACUACGUGCCAGCAGCCGCGGUAACACGUAGGAGGCGAACGUUAUCCGGAUUUACUGGGCGUAAAGCGCGUGUAGGUGGUUUGGUAAGUAGGGCGUGAAAGCUCCUGGCUCAACUGGGAGAGGCCGUUCUAAACUGCCGAACUAGAGGAUGGUAGGGGGAGGUGGAAUUCCGGGUGUAGCGGUGGAAUGCGCAGAUAUCCGGAGGAACACCAGUGGCGAGAGCGGCCUCCUGGACCAUUCCUGACACUCAGACGCGAAAGCUAGGGUAGCAAACGG
rnacentral:rRNA from 1 species